rnacentral:tRNA from 1 species
UCCCUGGUGGCUCAGAGGUUAAAGCAUCUGCCUGCAAUGCGGGAGACCUGGGUUUGAUCCCUGGGUGGGGAA